UUAACUCUAAUUUGUAUGCAGUUGGAAUUUUUGCCUACGUUUGCCGCUAGGGGCGCUGUUCCAACUUCAUACAAAUUUGAGUUA
rnacentral:pre_miRNA from 1 species